GAUGAACGCUAGCGGCAGGCUUAACACAUGCAAGUCGAGGGGUAACAGGGUAGCAAUACUGCUGACGACCGGCAAACGGGUGCGGAACACGUACACAAUCUGCCUUUGUCUGGGGGAUAGCCCGAAGAAAUUCGGAUUAACACCCCACUAUUAUAAUUAGGUGGCAUCACCUUGAUUAUUAAAACUACCGGUGGACAAAGAAUGAGUGUGCGUCCCAUUAGCUAGUUGGUAGGGUAACGGCCUACCAAGGCGACGAUGGGUAGCUGGUGUGAGAGCACGACCAGCCA
rnacentral:rRNA from 1 species